rnacentral:rRNA from 1 species
UGGAUAACCUGCCCUCGGCACCGGAAUAGCCCGGGGGAAACUCGGAUUAAUGCCGGAUAGCCCCACAGCCCGCAGGGGCGGUGGGAAAAGGUAGCUACGGCCUCUGGCCGAGGAUGGGUCCGCGGCGGAUUAGCUAGUUGGUGGGGUAACGGCCCACCAAGGCGACGAUCCGUAGCUGGUCUGAGAGGACGAUCAGCCACACUGGGACUGAGACACGGCCCAGACCUCCGUACGGGAGGCAG